rnacentral:tRNA from 5 species
GGAAUAGUUUACAUUGGUAAGUUAAGACAAUUGCUAAUUGUUCGGGUAAGCCCUUAGGUGUUCGAAUCGCCUCUAUUCCG